AGUGAGUCAGUGUUCCAGGGCUCUCUGGUUUCAGCAGGAUGAAGAUUUGGAAGGGCUUUGGCCUCAUUUCCUCCGCUAUCAGAUGGGAGCCUGGCUACUUGCCCUUUCUAAUUCAGGCGUGGAGGGGCAGGGAGGAUUUCUGAGAUCCGAAGUGAUGGGAGCUUUGCAAAGUGUGAGACACAGCAGAACCCUCGCCGUGUCAGCCCUGCUGGAGCACCCAACUCGAAAGGCCACAAGAGGCCUGGCGAGGACAGCUCCUGAUGUGCCAGCCCCACCCAGCAAGUUGGGAGAAGCUGGCCACUCCUUCCCAUUUAUAAGCUGAGCUGGUACAUAACGGAGAAAAACAAAGUUGGGCAGGAAGCAGCCUUUUCAACCAGUGAAGAAACCGUUAGAAUCCAUCCCUUUGCCCUGAUGCCAAAGCUCCGCCCGCCCCACCCAGCCACGCUAUCAAGGACACACAGCUAUCAGAGAGCCCUGGGGGCAUUUGUCCCUACUUUAUCAGGGACCCGUGGAAACAUUUCUCUAACUGAAGAUAAAGCCCUCUCCCCUCUCCUUCUCCCUCCCUCCCUAGUCUACCCUCCCCCCCCCCCCCCCCCGCCCCCCCCCCCGUUCUCUUUCUAGCUACCUACCAGAAGGUUCCUGCCAUUUUCUUCCAGUAACAACAGUUCUGAGAAGGAGAGGUUUUCCAAUCAGGACUUGAAGUAACAGGUGGAGAGGCAGGUGGACUACUAUUUCAUUGUAUGCAGAUGCCCCUUUUUAAAAUCCAUUCAUCUGUGGAUGGAACACUGGGGCUGCUUCCGUCUCUCAGCCAUUUGUGAAUAAUGCCGCUGUGAACACGAGACAUAUGAACAUCUGUUCGAGUUCCUGAUUUCAGUUUUGGGGGGCAUAUACCCAAAAGUGGCGUGAGUUGCUGAAUCUUUUGAUCAUUCUGUCUUUAAUUUCUGAGGAACCUAUGGAUUGUGUUCUCUAGGACCUGCACCAUUUUGCCUUCCCACCAGCAGGGCACAGGGAUUCCAAUUUCUCUGCAUCUUUACUGAUCCUUGUUAUUUUCUGGUUUGGGAUAAGAGUCAUCCUAAUGGGCGUGAAGUGGUAUCUCAUUGUGAUUUUGAUCUGUAUUUCCCUAAUGAUUAGUGAGGUUGAACAUCUUUCCAUGUGCUUAUUGACACUUUGCGUAUCUUCUUUGGAGAAAUAUCUAUCCAAGACCUUAGGCUAUUUUUUCAUUGGCUAUUUGGUUUUUUUAUUGUUGUUGAAUUAUAGGAUAUCUUUUUAUUUCUCUUUUUUUAUAUCUCUUAUCAGAUAUAUGUUUUGCAACUAUUUUCUCCCAUUCCAUAGGCUGCCUUUUCACUCUGUUGAUAGUGUCCUUUGAAGUACAAAAGUUUUUAGCUUUGACAUAGCCCAACUUAUCUAUUUUUAAUUUAAUGAUUAAAUUAAAUAUAAAUAAAAUAUGACACCUGUGCUUUUGGUGUCAUAUUUAAAAACUCAUUGCCAAAUCCAAUAUCAUGUAGAUUUUCCCCUAGGUUUUCUUCUAAGAGUUUUAUAGUUUUAGUCAAGGGGGUUUUAAGAGGUCUGUGACUGACAGUGCAUAGGUCAUCCUCAAUCUCGAUUCUGGGGAGACUUUCAUUUCCAAUGUAAAGACCCUCAAGCCUUUCUGAAUGUCAACGUGAAUCCAGGAAUUGGGAAAUUGACAACAUGGACGUGAUGUUUGAAGCCUUUAAUUCAAAAGGAAUUAUUGAGUGUCUCCAAAUUUAUAUCAGUGCCCUGGAAGCUGGUAACAAUGAAAAUCAUGGCCUCUCUUCUCCAAGAACAUAAGGCACUCCUGAGGUGACCAGAUGCUACACACAUGUGAACUCGUGACACUGCAAGGCAGAGUCUGAUGAGCACUUCACCAGGCCCCAGAGCCAAGAGCCAUGAGAACUCAGGAAGGGAGCAGCCACCAUGGGCUUCAAGGGACAGAGAAAACUGCAGGGUAAAGAUGUGGCUUGAGCUAGGUCAGGGGUGCUGGACCCAACUGGAAGAGGCAGAGAGGACCAGGGAUGCAGGAAUGAUUGCGAUUCACUGAACACUUACUGUGUGCCAGGCACAGUGCUCUGCCUGCCAUAUGCAUCACCUCCCUUGCUCCUUCGAACCCUAUAUUUCUCAUUGUCUCUAUUUUAUCAUUGUAAGCACUGAAGCUCAGAGAUCUGUCUCAGAUUAAUUGCCCAGAUAGUAAGUUAUGAAGCAGAGGCUGGGAAUGAGGUUUAUUUCUCUCCAAAGCCUUUCUUCUUAACCAUUCUACUAUUCAAACACUGAAGUUUUGACACGCAGACCAAGUAGACACCCCAGAGAGAGAGAACAGGAUAAGACAGUGCAUUAAAAUGGCACAAGCAGGGAGUUUGAGAUCAAGGAGGAGCAGCCUGGCUGGGCAGGGAAGUUCAGGGGGUAGGGUUGUGGGAUCUAAAGUUGAAGCGAUGGAAUGGGCAGGAUCACAGGGUGCCUCAGAGGAAGCAUGGAGAGCUUGGUCUUGACCUACCAGGGGACAGAAUUGCAGCUCAACCUUCCAGGCCACCUCUUCCCUCUAUACAAACGAGAGCACUAGGGUGUCAGAAGGUUAGGCCAUUUGCCAGUGGUCAGUCACAUUAGAGAGCAGUUGCAAAUUCUUAAGCAGGGUGGCAGCAAUGAAGAAAACGGGAUUCUAGAUGGGCUAGCUGGGCAGUCCAAAGCAUGAAGGACAGCAAACUGGCAGGAAGGAGCAAGCAGCUCUUUUCUUGAUACCUCCUUCGGCAAAGGGUAUCUCUAGGGAGCAUCAUAGACAAGACUCCUUUCAACUGAAGUCUGAAGUUUAGGAAAGCAAAUAUCAUUAGGAAGGUCAGAAUUGCCUUCCCCUGCCAGGCUCAGGGCCCUCAGCUAGCCUGGAGCACCGGAAAACACAGCUGCCCAGAAAACACAGCUUCCCCCUUGCCUGGGGAAGCCUGUCUAAAUGCAAGGCCUGAGACCGGACACCCCCAGCUCUGAAGAGCUAGUGGCCAGGAUAGGCCUCCUGAUGCCAUCUCUUUAUGUUGUUUUCCUGAGCAUCAAGCUGAGCCCGGUGUCUGUACGCCCAACCCAACCGUCCCACUGGGGUCACCAGAGCAGGUUAGAUAAGGCAAGAAUUUCCCAGGCAAGGAGGCUGACCCCACCCUGUUUGAGCGGAGUCUUUAUUGGGACAGGAUUCCACCUGCGGUAUCCACCUAUGUUCAGCCAAGAAAGCCCUGCCCUGGUUGACUAUCCUCCUCGGAGGUUCUCUUUGCUUAAUUAAUUCUAGUAAUAGCUGCCAUCCAUUGAGCAGUAUGCUAAGCAUUUGACAUGCAUGGUCUCAUUUUAUCCCUACAACCCCGUGAUGAAGAUGUAAUUAUUCCCAUUUUAUACGUGAUGGAACUGAGGCUCAGAGCUGUUAAAUAAUUUGCCUAAAACCACGUCGCUAAAAGAGCCAAGACUAAAAUGUAGGCCUGUCUAUCUCCAAAGUCUGGGUCUUUGCUCAUAUAAUUGGUUGCUUUCUAACAUUGGUUUACUGUAGCCACAUCUCCUUGAGGGCAGGGGUUCCCUGCAGUAGACAAUCCAGCUUCAGAGAGUGGCCUUGCUUCCCGAUGCUACUCGUGUUCCUAGAAGCCAGGAGUCUGAUGUUUUUUCCCAAACCAACCUUUGGGCCCAAAUCUGAAUGGCAUCUGAGACCUUAUCUUAUCCUACAAGUGAUGCUCCAGGAAGACAAGAUUUUCAAUUCCCUUCAACAUUUACCCAGAGAGCAUCAUGCAGGUGUGCUCUGGCCAGGGAAAGCGGGGCUGCCACUUGUACAUUCACUCAUUCAAUCAAUAUUUAUCAAGGCUUUACCAUGUGCUAGGCACAUUCUAGGUGCUGAAGACACAAGUGGGAACAAGUCAUAAAGAAUCUCUGUCUCCCUGGAGUUAACAUUCUAGCUGGGAAGAAAGGCCCAAACAAAACACACCAAAAAUCUAUAAGUAGAUAUGUAGUAAAGUGGAAGUAAUGACGAUACCAGGAAGAAAAAUAAAGCAGCAUAGAGGAUGAAGAAUGAUGAGAAGCAGAAUUUUCAAAGGCUCUUAUGAGGAUAAAACAUUUGAACAGAGGCCUGAAUGAAGUACAUGGGAGCCGUGGGAUGAUCCAGAGGAAGAACAUCACAGGCGAUGGAAAAAAGCAAGCCCAAAAGCCCUCCACUAGGAAUUGUCUUGGUUUGUCUUAAGGAACAGGGAAAAAAGUCAGUGUGGCUGGAGUCGAGAGAGUGGGAGAGAGUUGUGAGGUCACAGGGGAAGUAAGCACCAAGAUAGCGUAAGGCUUUCUAGGCCACAGGAAGGAGUUUGGGUUUCAAAUGUGCUGAGUCCCAGGCAUCGUGGUAUGUCACUCAGGUGGGGCUGCCUCUGCGAGCCACAGAGAGGAGCUUGUGUGAACCAAACGCACAAGGACAGCUCAGUAAGUCAGCUCACCCAGCUCUGACUCCCCGCUUGAACUCAGAGCAGCAAAUGAGUCAGGGUCCAGCACCCAAGGUGGGGGAGGGUUUGUCGGUGGCCAGAGGUGAAAGAAAGAGCUGUUGACUCUAUGUCUCAUUUGCUUUGCCCAUCAAAGGGCCUGAAUUAUCAACGGGUAUUCAAAUAUUUUAAAGCUGGGAUCUCUCUGUAUGAGGAAAAUCCUCCCUGGAAACUUACCAUGUUGCCAGUCUCCUUUCUAAGCACCGUACGUGUUUCAUUUCUCAGGAGUAUUAUAAAGGCUCCAUGAGACAGGCUCUCUGAACCUGCCCACUUCACAGACGGGAAACCAAAGUCCAGAGAGGUCAAGCAGCAUGUCAAAGGUUGACAAGUAUGGCACCUCUGGGGUUAGAGCAGGGGCAGGCGAAGCUCCCUAGGGAGGCCCCAAAGAGCAAGCCAAGAAAUCACAUUUUUGAGGUCCCUUCCUCUAGAACACUCCAGGAGCUUAACUCUGCUAAGACCUUGCUAUGGAAUUGUGACAUCUGGGGGCAAUGAUUCAGCACUUGCUAUUUCCUCUUGUCUUAGUUGUAAAAGUGGAUCUAGAAGUUGUUGGAAGGGGGAAAGUCAGAUAGAUAAAAUCAGGGAUGUGGCGGGGGCAGGCAAUAUAGUAGAGAAGCAAUGAAGCUGUCAGCAGCUUGCCCCAGACCUAAAUGGGCCCAGUCCGGCGUUGCUGGCUGACGGAUGGGGGCCCGCCAAGCCCGAGGCCUGUUUGAUGUCUUACACACACUUCAGCUCUUCCCUUAGCUUCUGGCUUCAGCCUUCUUCGCAGCUAGUUAUUUCCUGAUACAGUGGCUGUAACUUCUAAAAGAUGGGGUAAUAACAACAGCUAUCAUUUCUGAGUAUUUACUGUCCACCAUCACCGUGCAAAGCUUUUUCACACACUUUAUGCUACUGAAUCCUCUUGAAACUCCUGCGAGGUGAACAGGUAUGGCAGUGGCCUCACCCUAGUGCCGGCCCCAAUGAGCAUUACUACUGACAGGUAUUAGCAAUUUGACAGAUAGGGAAGCUGAGGCUCAGAGAGGUGAGGUAACUUACUUGACGUCACGCAGCUAACAGGCAGCCGAGCUGUGUCUGUCUGACACCUAUGCUCAUUCUCCUGAGCCUCUGUUGAAAUGGAUUUUUUUUUUUUUAUUUUUAGACUUUUUUUGCGGGUCUUUUCUACCGUAUAGGAAACCUGACUUGUUUAUCACUAAGAUUACUAAUAGGCCUAACAUUCUGUGAAAACAUAUUCACCAGUUGAAAUGUCCUGAAAUGAGUCUGGGAGCCAGAUGCUUGUGACAAUUGAGUAGUUUAAAGGAUUUUGCAUGGGACCUGAAGCCAUGUUAAGACAAAUCUUUAUUUUUGUUGCUCGGUGUGAAUGUCACCGCUAACAGGCAUAUGAUACAACUUAGCUUCUAAGGAUUGAGGAAAAGAAAUAAAAGAAGUAAAUUGUCAUUCUUGGCAUUUUCCCAAUGACAUUUGCAUUUUCAUUUCUAUUAGAAGUCCAUUUUAGCAAAGAAAUGUAGCCUUAGUCACUUGAAACAGCUCUUCCCUAGAAAACAAUUGUAAAUGUAAUAAGCAAAAAGAAUAGAAAAUGCCAACAGGAAAAAUGUAAUCCACCUGGGGUCAGAUUCAUCAUGCAGACUGCUUCAGUCUUCCUCCGACAUUCACAUUCAAUUUUAAUUUAGAAAUUAAAAAUUCUAAAUUCUAAGGCAUUCAGGAUUUGCAAGGAGGGGUUGGGGGGUGGGGAAGAGAUUUAAAUUGCAAAUCCCACCGGCUGGGGAUCAAGUACAGAUUUCCCCAACUCUUGAGAACUAUUUUACUUGCUUGCAUUGCUCUUCUGCAUAAGGCAUAAGGUUUGCUCGGAAAGAGACAAUAAGGUCACGAUUGCUUUAAAAUAAUUCAUAAUAAAAACACAUUUUGAGACUUGA